rnacentral:rRNA from 1 species
UAGAAUUAUUUUAAAUAAUAUAUUAGAAAUGAAAUGUUAUUCGUUUUUAAAGGUAUCUAGUUCUUUAAGAAAUAAAUUUAAUUUAUAAAUUUUAUAUUAUUUAGUUAAUUAAAUAAAUUAAAUAAAUAUUUAAUUUUAAUAUUUUAUGGGAUAAGCUAUAAAAUAAAAAUUUAAAAAUUCAUUAAUAAUAAAAUAAAUAUAAGCUUAUAAAUAGUUAUUAUUAAUAAUAAUGUUAUAAUUUAUUUUAAAAUAAUUAUUAUUUAUUAUGUUUUAAAUUUUUAUUAAAGUAUUUAUUUUAAUUUUAAAAAUAAAUUAAUAAUGAUUAAAUUAGUAUAUUAAUUUGUAUUAAUAAAUUUAAAUGUUAAGUUUAUAUAAAGAAUUCGGCAAAAUAAAUGUUCGCCUGUUUAACAAAAACAUGUCUUUUUGAUUUAUAUUAAAAGUUUUAACCUGCCCACUGAAUAAUUUAAAUGGCCGCAGUAUUUUGACUGUGCAAAGGUAGCAUAAUCAUUAGUCUUUUAAUUGAAGGCUGGAAUGAAUGGUUGGACGAAAUAUUAACUGUUUCAUAUAAAUUUUUAUUAGAAUUUUAUUUUUUAGUUAAAAAGCUAAAAUUUAUUUAAAAGACGAGAAGACCCUAUAAAUCUUUAUAUUUAUAUUAUUAUAAUUUAUUAGAAAAAUUUAUUUAUAAUAAUAAAUAAUAUUUUAUUGGGGUGAUAUUAAAAUUUAAAAAACUUUUAAAUUAUUUUAUCAUUAAUUAAUGAUUUAUUGAUCCAUUAUUAGUGAUUAAAAAAAUAAGUUACUUUAGGGAUAACAGCGUAAUUUUUUUUGAGAGUUCUUAUUAAUAAAAAAGAUUGCGACCUCGAUGUUGGAUUAAGAUAUAAUUUUAGGUGUAGUUGCUUAAAUUUUAAGUCUGU